UGCCUGUUUGAGUGUCAUAA
rnacentral:rRNA from 1 species